rnacentral:rRNA from 1 species
AGAUUGAACGCUGGCGGCAGGCCUAACACAUGCAAGUCGAGCGGCAGCACGGGUACUUGUACCUGGUGGCGAGCGGCGGACGGGUGAGUAAUGCCUAGGAAUCUGCCUGAUAGUGGGGGAUAACGUUCGGAAACGGACGCUAAUACCGCAUACGUCCUACGGGAGAAAGUGGGGGAUCUUCGGACCUCACGCUAUCAGAUGAGCCUAGGUCGGAUUAGCUAGUUGGUAGGGUAAAGGCCUACCAAGGCUACGAUCCGUAACUGGUCUGAGAGGAUGAUCAGUCACACUGGAACUGAGACACGGUCCAGACUCCUACGGGAGGCAGCAGUGGGGAAUAUUGGACAAUGGGCGAAAGCCUGAUCCAGCCAUGCCGCGUGUGUGAAGAAGGUCUUCGGAUUGUAAAGCACUUUAAGUGGAGAAGGCAUUAACCUAAUACGUUAGUGUUUUGACGUUACGACAGAAUAAGCUAACCGGCUAACUCUAGUGCCAGCAGCCG